AAAGAAUAACAUUUACGUGAUUUGUGGUAAAAGUUAUUUGCUAUGGAAAAAAAGCAAGAUACGAUUAGAACUCUCAAACCUUAUGUGUGAUUUUCGAAUAUCUCACAAAUUUAAAGUAAGGAGUACAAUAGUAUAAUAUUUAUACUGGUUGUUUAUACUGUGGGGGCUACACGUUAAACUUAUUAUUCUAAUCAGGUAACAGCGCAAAUCUUUCGGGUAGCCACAUAAAAAAUAACAUUUAUCUAUCUAUUUAGUCAUACUUUUCUUUCUUAAAAGUGUUCCUUCACUCUUGAUUUGUAAAGAAAAUGAAAUGUGGCAAGACUAUGGCAUUAUAUAUGUGAUUGUUAGACUUUUA
rnacentral:misc_RNA from 1 species